ACCAGUUCCCUAUUCUGCUCUUUCAGGGUUUUGUCCUCUGUUGUACAGGGAACCUGGGAGAUCUCAGAGCAAUUCAUUGGUGCUUGACUAUUAAAACUGAAUACGUUAAGGAACUAGAAUUUAGAUGCCACACGUGUAGCAACACAACUGCAGCUGGAGAUAUGCUCCAGGGACCAGCACAGAGUGACCUCAAAAUAUAAGCUUCAGGCUCCACAAAAGCUAUUUCCAUUCCAACUCCAACUCUGUGCAUCCUAUGUCGCAUCCCAGGCCGGUAGCUAUCAUCAACAUUUUACAAGUGAGAAAACAGCCUCAGAGAAGGU